rnacentral:rRNA from 1 species
UACUGACGCUGAGGUACGAAAGCAUGGGAGCAAACAGGAUUAGAUACCCUGGUAGUCCAUGCGUAAACGAUGUCUACUAGCCGUUGGGGCCCUUGAGGCUUUAGUGGCGCAGCUAACGCGAUAAGUAGACCGCCUGGGGAGUACGGUCGCAAGACUAAAACUCAAAUGAAUUGACGGGGGCCCGCACAAGCGGUGGAGCAUGUGGUUUAAUUCGAUGCAACGCGAAGAACCUUACCUGGCCUUGACAUACAGAGAACUUUCCAGAGAUGGAUUGGUGCCUUCGGGAACUCUGAUACAGGUGCUGCAUGGCUGUCGUCAGCUCGUGUCGUGAGAUGUUGGGUUAAGUCCCGCAACGAGCGCAACCCUUUUCCUUAUUUGCCAGCACUUCGGGUGGGAACUUUAAGGAUACUGCCAGUGACAAACUGGAGGAAGGCGGGGACGACGUCAAGUCAUCAUGGCCCUUACGGCCAGGGCUACACACGUGCUACAAUGGUCGGUACAAAGGGUUGCUACACAGCGAUGUGAUGCUAAUCUCAAAAAGCCGAUCGUAGUCCGGAUUGGAGUCUGCAACUCGGCUCCAUGAAGUCGGAAUCGCUAGUAAUCGCGGAUCAGAAUGCCGCGGUGAAUACGUUCCCGGGCCUUGUACACACCGCCCGUCACACCAUGGGAGUUUGUUGCACCAGAAGUAGGUAGUCUAACCGCAAGGAGGACGCUUACCACGGUGUGGCCGAUGACUGGGGUG